GAGCGUCGCUCAGCUGCCGGGCCGCGCGCGUUCGGGAGCUGCCAAGCCUCGCGAGACCGGGGCUCGCUAGGGCCGCUGGUAGUUACGGGCUCGCAGCCGUGCGUCGUCGUGGGGGCCGCUGUGUGGGCCCGAGUGUCCGGGCUGGUUGCUUCUGUCGCACUGAGAGCGAAGGCUGGGUCAGUGUCUGGCAAGCGGAGUGGUGAGAAUGAGAACCAACCGAAGGUUCAACGGCCCUGCCAUUGGCCCCCUGGCUCUAAACGCAGGCUGUGGUGGAGGCUUAGGCCGACAGGGCGGAGCGGAGGCGGUGAACAUCCUGCUCCCCGGCCAGACACGUAUUAAGAGGAGGCGAAGGGUCAGGCCUCGGGAAGAUGAAAAUUCUCGAGAAGCUGGAAGAAGGCGUGAGUAACACCGACGUGGGGCCGUGCACACCCUUACGCAAAACGAGAAGGCCGUCGGGGCCAGCAUGGAGAGUUUUUCGCGCGUCUGCUCCCUAGGUGCUAUGCAUUCCCAAGGAUGUAAACAUCGAGAAGAUGGAAACUUCAGUUAAUCUUUUGGGUCUAGGAUUGGGGGCAGGAAGGCGGGCGGCGAUCGCGGAAGGCUGCCUGCAGCCAGGCCAAACAGGUUUACAUGCAACUGGUGGAAACCACUGGCAAGGACAACCCAGACGAGUUUUCAUGCGAGCAAGGGAUGGUUUGAGUUUAGAAAUUACUAUAGACUGCGAAAUUCGAGUUUGAUGGAAGAUCCGUUAAAUACCCAGUCACCACCCACGUAUUCCAAGCAACUCUAGCAACUGAUCAGAGCUAGAGGCUUUAACCUCAAUAGGUCUUCACCAUCAAGGAAAUGAACCUGCUUUGGAAGUGCUUGCCUUUGUGUACUUUUGGGGGAAAAGACAGAAAUCCGGGAAACUUAGAGGACGCUAAGGACAGGAUUUCCCUUACAUUUCGUGCCAGUGCCGCAGGUGACAAAAUGAUAAACCCGUUGCUGCUUUAUGAAGACCCCAAAUUCCGCUUGUUUUAUGAAAAAAGAUAUGCUUUCUUGUUUUUCUGGCGAUCACUAAUCUUAUCGUUAACAGCUACCCUCAUUUUGGAUUGGCUUCAUAAUUGUUUUAUUCUUUGAGCCUGGAAUUAUUUAACUCCCCCAAAUCUUGCCUUCAGAGUAUCGCUAAUAGUGUUCCCAAUCACCCAGACUCAUUGUUCCUUGCUCAUCCAUACGUUGUUACUAUGUUUCUUUGUCUGGAACGCACUAGCUAUCUUUAGCCUUUGGAUCAGAGUGUAAUUGAAGCAUUCAUGGGGUAUUACACCAAGCAUGUUUGACCACUUUGCCCAUGGCUUUGAAAAACAAAAAAAAACAAAAAUUCUUUGCUCACUUUAAAAGAAACAUGGUAAUAAUAAAAGAGGUGACGGAUGAUAAGAAAAACCAGAUGCUCUUGAUAAAGCUUGCUGGAAGCUUUGCUAUGAUGUUAUGAAUGAUUAUGAAUGUUCCCUGGAGCUAAAGAAGAAGCUGAAAAAGAAAUCAUAGUCUGCAAAUUGGAUGGGCUUUAAAUUCAUCAAUAUGAAACUUUAAGUUUUGGGCUUUGGCAGUAACAGAGUCUGUAUCAUCUUGAGAUGAUAGAUACACGUCUGUACAUUGAGAGGAAGAAGGCAAAUCUUUGGAACCAGAGAUAAAGAUGAACCUAAGGAAACAAUGCUGUCCAACACCAGGUGUCAGACCUCAUCCAUGCUGCGAUUGAUAUGGAUUCUUUCCUGGAUCGAGGUUUGGCCUUUAAAAAAGAGACUUCAAUAAACUGUAUACCUAUAGAAGAGGUGCGGAACAACUUUCAAAAUAAAGUAGAGGAGCUGAAGAAAGAGAAGGAAGAUACAAACAGUAUUGUGGAUGAAAGAGAUGGGUACAGAAUCUGACUCUGAAGAGUCAGUUCACCUCUGAAUCCAGUAAGGAGGAGGAAAGAAAGAGAGAAGGCAAGAUGCCUCCAGAAGAGCCUGUGAUAUCAGGCAGGGGCACUGAGGCUCUUACUAGAUCUGAAGGAUCUGCCAAGGCCAUAAAUCCAGAAUUGGACAUUUGGAAUCUGACCUUGGAAUUGACUCGGAAGAGAGUAGAGGUGCCUGAGUUGAAGGAAAAGAGAAUCCAGAGGUGGUUUCUUCCAGAUAGCAGUUCAUCCCUUGCCAUCAUUUGCCCCAACAUCACCUUCAUGAUGACCAUCCUUGUCAGCACCAGUCACACAUCUGUAUCAUUUAGUCGUUGAACAAAUAUUUAUUGAACAUAAUCUGUGCAGGAACCUGUGCUAAAUUCUGGGACAUCAUCUCAGGAUCUAAGAUCCUGACAGCCUCGCUCCUGACAUACCCUGCGCUCAGGACCCUCAGCCUGCAGCUCCUUUCCGUUGUCACUGGCAGCUAUGUGUCCGGCACGUACUCCGUUGUUUUUGUCAACUGCCCCAACGAGCAGAUUGCCAGAGAUAUUGCCAGUUUUUGCUCAGUCCCAGAGAUGUGGACCAUGACAGCGGGAGGAGGAGACCGAUUCCAGGUGUUUGGCGAAUUACUGAAAGCAGGGGUGGAGAGAGCAGGGGAACAGAGCUGGAAUCUUGGCUCCAUCUCUUGCUGACUGUGUGACCUCAGGCAAGCUGCUCCUCUUCUCUAAACCUUAGUUUUUGAAUUACCCUUUUUGAGAGGAUUAAAUGAUAUGAUAUCUGUUCAGCCCUUACUCCAGGAACUCAAAUGUAACAGAUGCUCAGUAAAGGUUGUAUCUGAUUUCCACCCCCUCCCCCUCCUUUUGCUUUUCUGGCUGCACCGUGCAGCCUGCGGCAUAUUGGUUCCCGGAGUGGGGGUUGAGCCCAGAGCCAGGGCAGUGAGUCGAGUCCUGACCGCUGAGCUGCUGGGGAAGUUGCCCCUCCUUUAUAGCUGCAGCUCUGAAGAGGGUUAGUGGGGCUGAGGGGUAAUAAGCUUGACUCCCAGCUCCUUUUCUUGCCCUGCAAUUCUGCAUUCUUGAAGUUUGGUGUAGUUACACUGUUUUAUGCGUUGAAUCUGGUCUUUGGGGGCACACAGCUUCCAAACUGAUGGUCACAGGUUAAGUUUGGAUUUGAUUACAUCUUUCCUGCCCCUAACCAGAAUGUCUGUUUUUUUCCUUAUUAAUGUUGCUUUUGGAGAACAGCGCUUGUCUGAAUGAGCACGUGAUUACUCCAGAAAUAGGACCUCAGCUUUGAGCAGCUAAGAAUUGAAAUCCCUUCUGUGCUUCUGGUAUACCCAGAGCCUGUGCUGAACUCACUGGACCCCUGGACUAGCCACUCUGGGUCCUGUCAGGAGCAACUUCAGGUGACAUCUGUGAGGUGCUGGGUAUUGGGAGGAAAAGGGCUCGAAGGCGUGGAUUUUAAAUAGUGGAAAGGCCAGCUGAGGGGAGUGGAUCGGUUUCAGCUUGGAGAGAGGUCUCUGCCGUCUUGGAUCCAGGGUUGCUGAUGAAAAGCAGCAGUGGAUCUCAUUCCUCGAUGCUUUCCUCUCUCACCUUCCUGGUGAUCCUGACAGGGGAGCGCAGGAGCAGCUGCAGGAGUUGCCCGUAGGCAGCGCUGUUUUCACUGCACGUGGGGCAGGCAGGUGGACAUUCUGCAGUCUGAAUCAGUUCCUAAGAAUAAUUUAUCGCCUCAAGUAUUUUCAGAGGGGUCAAAUUUUAUAAUCUUCAAAAUUCUCCAAGUUGCUGGAAGCCAGGGCUAUCCUGGAUAAGAAGCUGGCUGCUUCUGUGAACAUCCUGCCUAAGGCCUCCUCGCUAUACUAUUGGAAUGGAGAAAUAGAAGAAGCAACUGAGGUCCUGUUGUUAAUAAAGACAAAGACUUCCAAGAUCCAUAUGCUCUCCAGCUACAUCAGGUUGGUGCAUCCUUUUGAAAUCCCAGAGCUCUUCAGUCUUCCCAUGGACCAAGGAGAUGUGCACUACUUAAGGUGGCUGGAGGAGGGCAUGGAGCAGGAGUGAGGGGGGCUCUCGUGCCUCCUGCGGCGUGCCCCAAAGAGCUGUCAUUGUCUGUUCUCCGGCUGAAGGGCGGCUUCUGUCUGCCUCCUCGCAUCUAUGAAUUCCAUGCUUUUCUCAGCACAGAGGAGCUAAGUAACUUGUGGAGGGUGAAGGUCCUAGACCCCUGAGGCUGGAAGAGGAUGCUGGGCCAGUCAGGCCAAGCACGGACCCGGUGGAACGUGCCUCUGAGUGCCUCACACGUAAAGGUGGCCAGGAGCGGCAAGGUCACAGUGAGGGUGAGGCUGGUCUGUGUUCAUUGAACCUAAACUGAGUGCCGCGGAUGUUAUUACUCCUGCUUCUGAUUAGGAAUUAUCUGGCGACCUGUCACCCAGAAGUGUGUGGGGGUGAAGGUCACCUUCUAGGGGAGCUGGAAGCACUCUAUCCAGAAGGAUGAAUCGCUAAUGGUGGAAUGUCAGGGACAAGCAGGAUUAUUUCCUCUAGCUGGAGGUGGUGUUGGUUAUUGCUGAGUCCUGAGGAAGUGGGCCUGGGAAAGGGCUUCAUGAAUGCAGGUAGGACUGGGGAGGGGCGGGCUUAGACACAGUCUCAAGGAUUGAGAGUUGGUCUUGACUCUUUCCUAGCCCGAAGGUGGCAGACCUCAGUAAGCUGUGGUCCCUUGCUCAGCAGAGACAUGGGUUCUGAGCCCACCACACUGACCUUCCCAUGUGCGCACGGAAACCGAGCAUCCUAAAGUGGGAAGAACCCGGGAGAGCUGCUGGAUCAGAACCCCAGGGGUUCACAGGAGGGACCCUGCUGCUGCUGCUGCUGCUGCUGCUAAGUCACUUUAGUCAUGUCAGACUUUGUGUGACCCCAUAGACGGCAGCCUACCAGGCUCCGCCGUCCCUGGGAUUCUCCAGGCAAGAGCACGAGUGGGUUGCCAUUUCCUUCUCCAGUGCAUGAAAGUAAAAAGUGAAAGUGAAGUCACUGAGCCGUGUCCGACUCUCAAUGACCCCAUGGACUGCAGCCCACCAGGCUCCGCUGUCCCUGGGAUUUUCCAGGCAGGAGUGCUGGAGUGGGGUGCCACUGCCUUUUCCAGGAGGGACCCUGAGGGCUCCUCAUACUUCAGCCAGUGCACCCAUGCUUUUAUUAUUAAUUUUUAUGUAUUGAGCUAAGUUUUUGUUGUUACAAGUUUGUAAACCAGUAGCCUGAGCCAGUCUUACAGAUUUUGUAAGGUUCAAGACCCUUGAGGCUGGAAAAGGAUGCGGGGCCAGUCAGGCCAAGCAAGGACCCAGUGGAAUCUAUAAAGCCAGUUUUAUAGAUGACUGAAGGGAAUUGAACUGCCCUGAGGUCCAGAAAAGGGGUGGGUUGUGUUACAGAGGGGAGAACCAAGGCUGCUCAUUCCAUCGGCUGCGCUCCUAACCCUGCUCCCUGGGGCUGGUGGACCCCCGGGGAGUGAGAGGAGAGCCUGACCUAGGCCCCCUCACGGCUCUGCUGCAGGGUGACCCCCCUCAGGGCCCUUCAGAGCCUUGCCCCAGCUCACUCUGCCACCUCCACUCUCCUCCCCUGCCUGGACCUGUGGGUGGCUCUGGUGUGCCAGGCUGGUGCCCUGCCUGAGCACCCUCUGCGCCGUCUGGAGGAGCGUGGCUGCCCCUCUGCAGGCCUGGCGUCCAGUUGGAGGCAGUCGCCCCUGCCCUGGCGUCCUGUUGCCCCCGUGCAUCCUGGCCCGUCUCCGGGAUUGUGCGUUGCGCCAGGGGAGGGGCGUGCUGACAGCAACUUGGUCUCCUGUACACAGUUUGGCAUAUAUUUUCCAAAUUGAUGUUUCAAGGAUUUGAGUAACUAAAGCUUUCUCUACUUUCCACAGUUACCUUCUCAUUUACCAGGUUGGCAAAAUCCAAUUAUUUUUCCUUGAACUUCCUUAAUGUGAGAUUAAUUCCAGAGAUUUUCCUGUCUCUGACUGCCAUUGGUUCAUUUUUUGUGCUGAGUGUGCUUUGAAAACUGUUUUUUGGUGGCCUGCCUUAGCCUCAGUCACAGCUGACUAUAGGAAAUAACACCAGCUCUCUCUGCAGGUACUGUCCUAGGUCUUAACAUUUAUCCUUGUAAUCCAGGUUACCCUCAUUUUGCAGUUGAAACCUUAGAUUGGAGAGCAGAGACGCUUAAAAUAAGUAUGAAAGCAGGUGUCUGACUCUAAAUCUGAUGCUCUUACAGUCUCUUUCAAAGAGGCUGGCUAUAUCUCUCUGUAGGCCAGAGAACCUGCUGUAGCCAUCUCUAAGGAAGAGCUGUUCAUUCCUAAAACAUCCACCUUAACAGUGUGGUGAGUUGGUAUGUUGUGUGGUUUCCUUCUCCCCACAGGUCUGGAGGCCGGUGGUGAUGUCUUCAUUCUGUAGAUGAGGGAACAGCUUGAGAGGCUUGCCCAGCUCUACCACACUGCCCUCAAUGUGCUGUGGGCGCGGGGGCUAGACAUCAGGGUUUCCACCCGGGAAUUCCUUCCCAGCACUUCUCAGGAAGCAUGGUUAUGACUCCAGAACCCUGGGAGAAUCAAUCAGUUGAGGAAAUGAGAAGUAAAAAAGUCUCCAUGAAUACUGAAGCUUAAAAGCAUAAAGGUGCUACUGGUUUGAAAAAGUAGAGCAAGAAGCGGUUGCUUAUACAGAGUUGAGUGUAGUUACCUAACCAGGACAGGAGUGUAGAAGAGAAGUGGUUUCCAUCUCCUUUCGCCUGGGAUUGUCUAGCCCUGUCCACUGCAAACCCUGAGUUACUCCUGCAAGUGAGAAAUGUAUACAUGCAGUAUGCUUUACACAAAUCCUGUGAGUGGUGUUCUAAGAAAUAAGCUUUGGAAGCAAAAUAAAUUCUUAA